rnacentral:misc_RNA from 1 species
UGACAUAAAAUAUGAACAAAUAUUACUAAAAAUUUAUUUUAAAAUGAGUAGAAAAGCAAGAAAAUGAAAAAGAAAGAAAUGUUAAUUAUUACAUCAUGCUUAUGUAAUUAAAAUGUGCCCCACCAAUCAAAUGAAGACAAGCCUUUAUAAACAAACUUAAAUUAGAGUUAAAUGGGCUGAAAUUUAAGAGAAAAAUCUGCUUCUUCUUCCUCCUUGAACCCAGCCGAAACUCUCUCUCACUCCCUCCACCAUUUUUGUUCAACAAGAGCUUUCUCUCUCCUUCACUUCCACCAUAAAACCACUUACCCCCCUUCACUAAACUUGAUCCUUGCAACUAGAAUAGUCUUGAGGCAGCAAUUUGAGGGAAAAAUCUUGAAGAUUAACAAGCUCAAGUGGGAGCUCUAACAAGGUUAGUGUCCAAUCUCCUCAUUUUUUUUUUAAUUCAUGUUUAGGAAGUUGAAUUGAGUUGGGAUUUAUGAGGAAUUGAAAUGAAAUUCAUUGGCAUGGCCACUUUACAUUUUCGGCAGCCAUGGUAAUCUUAGUGUAGUGAUGAAUUUUUUUUUUAUUUAAAGGAGUGUAUAGGCUGCCCUUGAUGUGAAUGUAUCACUUCAAUUAUUAAUUUAUGAGUUUGGUGCAAGAAAUUAGAACUUAGCAAAAUUUAGGGCUAGGGUUUGGGCAACAAAUUUAUGAUUUUGCUCAUGUAUUGGUGAAAGGA